AAAAUUUAUUAAAAUAAUAAUUAAUAAUAAAAUAAAUAUAUUUAAGGUGAAAUUAAAAUAUAUUUUAAUAUUUAUUAAUAAAAAUUAAAUAAAUUUUGAAAUUUUAUAAAAAACUAGGAUUAGAUACCCUAUUAUAAAAAAUAAUAAAAUUAAUUAAUUAAUAAAUGUAAAUCAUUAAAAUUAAAAAUUUGGCAGUCAAUUAUUUUAUUAGAGAAAUUUAUUAAUUAAUUUGAUAAUACACGAUAAGAUAUACUUAAAUUUAUUUUUAUAUAUUGUUGUUUUUAAAUUUUAAUUAAAUGUUAUAAUUAAUAAAUUUUAUAAAAUUUUAAUUCAAAUCAAAAUGUAGAAUAUUUAAGGUUAUAAUGAAUUUUAAUUAAUUAAAUUAUUGAAUAAAUAUUUUUAAAAAUAUUUUGAAAGAAAAUUUAAUAGUAAAAUAUAAUUAAUUAUUAUAAUUGAAAUAAAUUUAAUUUGAUGUACAAAUUGCCCGUCAAUUUCAUUAUAAGUGAAAUAAGUCGUAACAUAGUAAAUAUAUUGGAAAAUGUAUUUAGUAAUG
rnacentral:rRNA from 1 species